AUACCAGUUCAGUACACAGUGAAGUUAUCUAAAGAACAGGGAUACACUUGCUUUUUCAAUCAACCUUUUGCUAUUUUCAGUGAAGUUAAGGCCAACAGUGGAAACAAUUAAUUAAAUCAGGCUACAGUUAGUCACAGAGUGAAUUAAUGGGCCUUAUAUUAUUACAGACAUUUGUAAGUCUAUUCUCUUGAUAGAUGUGUGUUCAGGGUAGGACUGACAGGCAAGUUUUGCUUUUCUGUUUGUUUUGCCUGCCAUAUUGCCAAGACAGGAAGCUGCUGGCCCUUCUCAUGUGAUUCUCUUGCCCCUUCUCUCCUUUUCUCUAAAUUAGGCAGGAGGCAGUAAAACGUGGGGGUUAGAAGUUGAAGAAGCAUUUGGAUGAUUUAUUACCACUUGAAUUUGUGCCACCUGUUCUUAUACAGACUCCCUGAAAAGAGAGUGUUCUUCCUGGAUCUAAAGGCAGCGGAGAUGACUCAUUUUUGCCUAAAUUUUUCCCAUCAUAAGGAUAUCCAUUAGCACUACGAAGCUUAGAACUAUCAGACACUAAGUCUCUCUUGUGAAAACAUGUUUGGUAUUAUUUUUAGAUCUAAAAUUAUACCAUGAAUCCAACCCUUCUAUCUUGAGAAACGGACCCUUGAGAGAAACCAGGGUGUUUUGAUUCUGUUUGUGUGAAAGUGUGCAUCUGCUUAUCUCAUGUCUCCUCCCUCUCUGGAUCCUUCGGUUUCAGUCAGUCGGAUUUUGAGUUAUUGAGAAUCUUGAUGACCUGCACUUACCAAUAGAUAUGGUUUUGGAGAGGCAGGGAAGCCUAAAUUUGGCAUCGAACCUAAUGCUGAGCUUAUAUAUGAAGUUACACUUAAGAGCUUCGAAAAGG